GUAGGCUGGCAGCUGCAGCUCCCAUUUGGCCCCUAGCCUGGGAACUUCCAUAGGCUGCAGGUGUGGCCCUAAAAAGACAAAAAUAAAAAGAAUAACCUGCGCUUGAAAGUGAACUUUCCAUGUCUAAGAAAUUGCCUGGAACCUUGUAGGGCAAAAGGGAAAAACAAAGCAAAAAAAACCCCCCAAGAUGGCAAAGCUUUAAAAAUAAUACGGGACAAAGCCCACGUCACUGUUGUCCUCCUCUUUCCUUCAAGCGAUGGAGUGGUACCCAGGCCGAGUUUGCGAGUUGGCGCUUCAGGAUGGCUACACACAACCCCCGUGGGCACCUCCCACAGCUGCAGGGCUAAUGGCAGGGCCUUUUUUAUGCUACGUUCGCAUAUAACCUCAACAAUCACAUCUUGUUUCCCCUCAUCCACCUUGAUUGAGGCAGAAAAAGGAUCAACAGCCACCGCCGUUGUGAAUAUCCAUCCGAAAUGGGCCUUCCCUUCUCAUCGGAAAGAGCUUUGCACGGUGGACUGUGUGGACUGCUGUCUGUUUUUCCCCCCGUUAUCACCACAUUGGUGUGUGUUGUCCUCUCUGCUGUUUUGGUUCAAGUCAAAAAGUUUUAUACCAGAAACCAAAAAAGUGGGGAGACAUGAGAACAUAGGACUCGGCUAAAAGAUCGGAAAAAUUUCAACAUAGAAUAUACAAAACAUUUCAAAAUCUGCACUGAGUCUAUACAAUUUUUACAAGGGGACGGGCUGGGGGCUCCCCCCAGAGUCUGAGUUGGAGACGCGGGGCUGCUCUUGCGCUUUCGAGAGUCCGGCGCUGGGUGGCCGCGGGGGUCCUUCAUCUCCGUGUCCUGCUUGCUCCUUACCGGGCUUCGAUGUCCUU
rnacentral:lncRNA from 1 species